UACGAAGGGGGCUAGCGUUGCUCGGAAUCACUGGGCGUAAAGGGUGCGUAGGCGGGUUUUUAAGUCAGGGGUGAAAUCCUGGAGCUCAACUCCAGAACUGCCUUUGAUACUGAAGAUCUUGAGUCCGGGAGAGGUGAGUGGAACUGCGAGUGUAGAGGUGAAAUUCGUAGAUAUUCGCAAGAACACCAGUGGCGAAGGCGGCUCACUGGCCCGGUACUGACGCUGAUGUGCGAAAGCGUGGGGAGCAAACAGGG
rnacentral:rRNA from 1 species